GCUACCUGAGGAAUGCUACAAGAAAGAUGUGUUUCUCUUCCUCAUUGAUAAUCAUGUCAUCUUUGAUGGGAGUACUCUGCUGACUUUGCAGAACCUGGAGUGUGAAGAAUCACCCAACUGAAAGCUAGAAUCCUGGGAUAGUUAAGAAUUGUUAUAGGUCUCAUGCUUGAAGAAAUGGAUAAAUAUUUCAGACCUCUAAGUAAAACUUACAAAAUCAACUAUAUAUUUAUGUUCUUUAGGCAUGAACUUACAUCUGCAGGCUGCAGCUGAUAUGGUAUCCAUGUUUGAUUCCGUGAAUGUAGUAGAUGUUAUUCCAGAAGAAGAAGUCCCUGAUUUAUAAGCAUCUGUAGCAACAAAAAGCUUUCUUUUGGAAACCACAUUGUCCUUCUUAAUUUCUAUCAGCAGCCGUACUUCUUUCCAGGUUAGUUCAGUAACUUCCUUUGGAAAUGCAUUUGGUGUCUUCUUGAACCCAAGAAACAAAGAAAAUUGAAAGUGUUGGUUGUUGUAAUGAAAAUGCUUGUGGUAUGUGUGUUGAAGUUAUACAUACCUUGAGGAAGUCUGCAAUCAAUUUUGUUGCAGUCGUGCCUUCUCUUUGUUGCACGGUUCAUCAGGAUGAAAUUAAAAGCUUCUUUCUCAUCA